rnacentral:rRNA from 1 species
UACAGAGGAGCCAAGCGUUGUCCGGAUUUACUGGGCGUAAAGAGCGCGCAGGCGGUCGUUCAAGUCGAGUGUGAAAGCCCCCGGCUCAACUGGGGAGGGUCACUCGAUACUGAUCGACUUGAAGGCAGGAGAGGGAAGCGGAAUUCCCGGUGUAGCGGUGAAAUGCGCAGAUAUCGGGAGGAACACCUAUGGCGAAGGCAGCUCGCUGGGACGUUACUGACGCUGAGACGCGAAAGCGUGGGGGAGCAAACAGG